CUCAUAUCCAGUGAUUUCAGGCUGGCUGAUUUUAGGGUGGCUACAGGUUUUUGACUCAAAUUUAACAAUAACAAUGUUAGUUUAAAAGAAAACCGCGUUUAUGUGAGCUUAGAAUAGUUUUCAAGUUCAAAAGAGUUUGUUAUGGAUGCGAAAAGUUGUAAUUUUGUUCAAAAUAAAGUUUUUAUCGCUGUCUUUGCCGUCAAAUGCAGGAGCCUGCACGACUGAAACACCCGCGAAUUUCAAAGAUUUGCAUAUUAAAAAUGGACACUUGCAGACUUGCACCUGUUCUUCUUCAAACAACUUUUAAACAAAUCAUUUUAACGUUUGUUUAACUUCUAUUCGACUAAACCAUGGCCGUACAAGACAAUACAGUAAAACAACGAAAGAAAGAAGCGUCUAAAACCAAGUUUCAAAAAACAAAUGCCGAAGAGUCGAAGACAGAACGAAGCGAAUCCAAUUUUGGGACAUCGAACUUUCGGACUAACUUUUUGUAUUUCGUGUAUAUUACGGCGUUUCUGGCUGUUAUUUUCUUCUUGUCCUGGUUCACUUUGUGCAGUACAAUUUGUAAAGGAUUCUCGUUUUGCAGUAGAGAGUUUUUGACGAGUUUUCUACGGCGGGAGGGGAAUUUAAAUGACGAUAUUGAAGCAACUUUAACUUUGGAGCCGCGUGUCCCGCCAAAAGAUGAUAGUUUCCUAUGGGUCAUCGAACGGCGUUCAAAUUUAAAUUUAAGCGAAUUUAUAGAGAAAUAUGAUGGCAAAAG
rnacentral:lncRNA from 1 species